CACACACACACUUGUAAGUCGCUCUGGAUAAGAGCGUCUGCUAAAUGACUUAAA
rfam:Salmo salar isolate Sally breed double haploid chromosome ssa12, whole genome shotgun sequence.